rnacentral:rRNA from 1 species
UGGGGAAUUUUGGACAAUGGGCGCAAGCCUGAUCCAGCCAUGCCGCGUGCGGGAAGAAGGCCUUCGGGUUGUAAACCGCUUUUGUCAGGGAAGAAAAGGUUCUGGUUAAUACCUGGGACUCAUGACGGUACCUGAAGAAUAAGCACCGGCUAACUACGUGCCAGCAGCCGCGGUAAUACGUAGGGUGCAAGCGUUAAUCGGAAUUACUGGGCGUAAAGCGUGCGCAGGCGGUUAUGCAAGACAGAGGUGAAAUCCCCGGGCUCAACCUGGGAACUGCCUUUGUGAAUGCAUAGCUAGAGUACGGUAGAGGGGGAUGGAAUUCCGCGUGUAGCAGUGAAAUGCGUAGAUAUGCGGAGGAACACCGAUGGCGAAGGCAAUCCCCUGGACCUGUACUGACGCUCAUGCACGAAAGCGUGGGGAGCAAACAGG